UACGGAGGAGGCAAGCGUUAUCCGGAAUUAUUGGGCGUAAAGCGUCCGCAGGUGGCUCCUCAAGUCUGCUGUCAAAGACCGGGGCUUAACCCCAGAAAGGCAGUGGAAACUGAAGUGCUAGAGUGCAGUAGGGGUAGAGGGAAUUCCCGGUGUAGCGGUGAAAUGCGUAGAGAUCGGGAAGAACAUCGGUGGCGAAAGCGCUCUGCUGGACUGCAACUGACACUCAGGGACGAAAGCUAGGGGAGCGAAUGGG
rnacentral:rRNA from 1 species